AUGGCCACCACUUCGUUGCUCCUGGCGGCUCUCCUGCUGUGCGCCUGCGCCAUGUCCGUCGCUGAUUCGUCGCGCCCCGAUGGCACGGUGGAGACGUCAAUCCGCACCGCGGAGAGAGCCGUCCAUGGUGGUGGGCGGAGAGCCAUGGUGGGGAGGAUGAGGUCGUUGGGGACGAGGACGCCCAAGGCGCCUCCUCCUCCCCAAUCAGGCACGCCGGUGGACGCUGCGGAAAUGUUUGCUGCCGUACAUGCACCGUUGAUCCUAGCAACGAUCGGCUUCAGAAUAAAUUGUGGAGCAGUGUGUGAACCGAACUUCUGCAAACUCCCGUAUCAAGUCCUUGCACUCUGCUAUUAUGGCAACAUCAGGCCCUUGGUAAGCAUCAUCAAGAUUGAUCGCAUUAACCGCGUAACUGCAAUCGGAUUCAAUCUGCAGACUAUUGCAUCCAACUUGGCAUGCACUAUUUUUGCUUCUCUUGUAUGUAGUCCAAGUUUUCUAUCAGGAAAACAUGUUAACUCGACUGUAGAUAAGGACGUGAAACGUAAUUUCAUGACUGCAAGUAAGGUCUUGGUUCAACGAAUUUGUCUGUGA
rnacentral:rRNA from 1 species